rnacentral:rRNA from 1 species
UACGUAGGGUGCAAGCGUUGUCCGGAAUUAUUGGGCGUAAAGAGCUCGUAGGCGGUUUGUCGCGUCUGCUGUGAAAACUCGGGGCUCAACUCCGAGCUUGCAGUGGGUACGGGCAGACUAGAGUGCGGUAGGGGAGACUGGAAUUCCUGGUGUAGCGGUGGAAUGCGCAGAUAUCGGGAGGAACACCGGUGGCGAAGGCGGCAUCCUGGACCAAUUCUGACGCUGAGGAGCGAAAGCCAGGGGAGCAAAGCGGG